UGGCGCAGCCUCGGCCAAUCACAAGGGGAGACAGCCGCAUAAAGGUGGGCAGAAUGCACCUGUCCUCCUCUUGCUUGGCUGAGGCCCGGGUUGCGUCACGUCCUGACGUCCACCACUUCCCCUUCCGUGUGAGGUCCGAUUGGGUGUUUUUGGCUGCACGCUGCUCACCGCUUUGGUUGCUGCUCGCUGCGCGUCUGCACUUCCACGCUGUGUUGUCCGGGACUGCCUGACCGGUAUGUAGCGCUACGGCCUCAGCUUCCUCCUCCAGCCACUCGUAAGUCGCUCAGCCUGUGUUUUAAUUGUAGGAUUGAAGACUGCCGCACAGCAGCGACGCACGGCAGUGAAUCACCUACAAAUCACUGCUGCUUUGCCUCCCGGUGACUGCUUUGUUUCCCGGGGAUUGCUUUACCCCCCGGCGCACUGUUUUGCCUUGGCUGGGUCCGUUUUUAAUUUUUAGGUACAACUCGGUUGCUUACACUAUCAUUCUGUCACUGCCUUAACCCUUGACUAUUUGCCGGCUGGCCCCGUGGUAGUGCAGUGCAGCACAGCCACGUCUUAAAGUGUGCGUGUGUGCGACGGAACAGUGUGGAAUUUAAUUUUGUUCUGUUGUGUUUUGUUCGUUCCUGUUUUUCUUUUGGAGUUUGUUUAUUUGGUUAUUCUUGGUUGCUUUCUCAUUUGCGAUUAUAUAGAUUUUGUUUAUUUUUUAUAGAUUGCUGGAAGAUUAAAUUGAUUUCUUUCUUUGUGAUUACUUAGAUUUUGCUUAAUUUGUUUUUCAUUAUUAUAGCUUGUUUUGUAGAUUUAAAUUUUGAGUUUUUUUUGUGAUAAGUACAAUUGUUUAAUUCUGUUUCUUUAUUCCUAAUCUGUUGUCUCUGGUCCCCUACAUCCAGGUGCCGAGCCUAUGGUGGUGGAUUGGUGUCCCGGUGGUGGUGUCCUUUUUUUAAUCCGUCUGUCCGUCCUUGUGUUCCUGGGAUCCCCGUUCUUUUGACCCGAUUGCCAUAAUAGGUCGCAGCCCUGGUUGUCCCCUCCCCUCUUUUUACAUCCAGAGUGAAUGAUUUUAAUGUUAGAGUUUUAAAAAGAAAAUUAAUUUGUAAUAAAAUAUUUG